UCAAAAAAAACCUUGCGGACAAAACGAUCCGCAAGGCUCUUUCCAAUUCCUUGUCUCCGCCUAGUGCGGAACAAGGGAUGGAAAGAAAAAAAGAAAAGGGAGAGGAGAAACCGGAGGAAGAACUUAUGGGGAAACGUAAGUCUUCUCCGUCA
rfam:Geobacillus thermodenitrificans NG80-2, complete genome.